UACGAAGGGGGCUAGCGUUGCUCGGAUUUACUGGGCGUAAAGGGCGCGUAGGCGGACAUUUAAGUCGGGGGUGAAAGCCCGGGGCUCAACCUCGGAAUUGCCUUCGAUACUGGAUGUCUUGAGUGUGAGAGAGGUGUGUGGAACUCCGAGUGUAGAGGUGAAAUUCGUAGAUAUUCGGAAGAACACCAGUGGCGAAGGCGACACACUGGCUCACU
rnacentral:rRNA from 1 species